rnacentral:rRNA from 1 species
CCCUAUGGGGCGCAGCUAGUUGGAUUUGAAAUCCCAGGGCUUAACUCUGGACCCGGAUCCAAAACUGCUGUGCUUGAGCGUAUCAGAGGGCAGUGGAAUUCCCGGUGUAGCGGUAAUAUGCGUAGAUAUCGGGAGGAACACCAGUGGCGAAGGCGGCUGCCUGGGGUAUUGCUGACGCUGAGGAACGAAAGCUAGGGGAGCGAACG